rnacentral:rRNA from 1 species
GAUGAACGCUGGCGGCGUGCCUAAUACAUGCAAGUCGAGCGAACGGACGAGAAGCUUGCUUCUCUGAUGUUAGCGGCGGACGGGUGAGUAACACGUGGAUAACCAACCUUUAAAACUGGAAUAACUUCGGGAAACGGGGGCUAAUACGGGAUAUAUUUUUAAACCGCAUGGUUAAAAAGUGAAGACGGGUCUUGUUGUCCCUUUUGAAGGGAUCCGCGCUGCAUUAGCUAGUUGGUAAGGUAACGGCUUACCAAGGCAACGAUGCAUAGCCUACCUGAGAGGGUGAUCGGCCACACUGGAACUGAGACACGGUCCAGACUCCUACGGGAGGCAGCAGUAGGGAAUCUUCCGCAAUGGGCGAAAGCCUGACGGAGCAACGCCGCGUGAGUGAUGAAGGUCUUCGGAUCGUAAAACUCUGUUAUUAGGGAAGAACAUAUGUGUAAGUAACUGUGCACAUCUUGACGGUACCUAAUCAGAAAGCCACGGCUAACUACGUG